GGAAGAGCAGCAAUUGGUCAGGAAGGAGGGAUACCUCUUCUGGUUGAGGUUGUUGAGCUCGGUUCUGCAAGAGGUAGGGAGAACGCGGCAGCAGCUCUGCUGCAAUUAUGCACUAACAGUAGCAGGUUCUGCAACAUGGUUCUCCAGGAAGGAGCUGUACCUCCGUUAGUAGCAUUGUCACAGUCUGGCACCGCAAGAGCCAGAGAAAAGGCUCAGGGACUUCUUAGCUACUUCAGAAACCAACGGCAUGGUAAUGCAGGGAGGGGCUGAUUUAUACACUGAACCGUCAACACAUACUUUUCUCAAGGUAGCUGACUAUAUGCUGCUUGUAAAUUUAAUAUUGAGAGUUAUUCAUGUAGAGGAUUUCAGCUUAUUGGAGACAUUCUAGUAGUUGUGAUAGAAAGAAGAAUUAUUUGUGGAGGCUCUCUCUUAUGAGCCCUUCCGCCCAUAACAUUAUAA
rnacentral:misc_RNA from 1 species